rnacentral:rRNA from 1 species
UACGUAGGGGGCGAGCGUUGUCCGGAAUUACUGGGCGUAAAGGGUGCGUAGGCGGCCGAUUAAGUCAGAUGUGAAAUACCACGGCUCAACUGUGGGGGUGCAUAUGAAACUGGUUGGCUUGAGUGCAGGAGAGGAAAGUGGAAUUCCUAGUGUAGCGGUGAAAUGCGUAGAGAUUAGGAGGAACACCAGUGGCGAAGGCGACCUUCUGGACUGUAACUGACGCUGAGGCACGAAAGCGUGGGGAGCAAACAGG